CCCACGGCUUGCGCCGUGGGCUACAAUCUUUCGCCCCUUCGGGGCU
rfam:Acidobacteria bacterium RIFCSPLOWO2_12_FTLL_59_11 rifcsplowo2_12_scaffold_8157, whole genome shotgun sequence.